rnacentral:rRNA from 1 species
GACGAACGCUGGCGGCGUGCUUAACACAUGCAAGUCGAACGGCAAGGCCCUGCUUUUGUGGGGUGCUCGAGUGGCGAACGGGUGAGUAACACGUGAGUAACCUGCCCUUGACUUUGGGAUAACUUCAGGAAACUGGGGCUAAUACCGGAUAGGAGCUCCUGCUGCAUGGUGGGGGUUGGAAAGUUUCGGCGGUUGGGGAUGGACUCGCGGCUUAUCAGCUUGUUGGUGGGGUAGUGGCUUACCAAGGAUUUGACGGGUAGCCGGCCUGAGAGGGUGACCGGCCACAUUGGGACUGAGGUACGGACCAGACUCCUACGGGAGGCAGCAGUGGGGAAUAUUGCACAAUGGGCGGAAGCCUGAUGCAGCAACGCCGCGUGCGUGAUGACGGCCUUCGGGUUGUAAACCGCUUUCGCCUGUGACGAAGCGUGAGUGACGGUAAUGGGUAAAGAAGCACCGGCUAACUACGUG